CCGAGUUUACAACUCCCAAACCCAAUGUGAACGUUACCAAACUGUUGCCAUCGGCGGGAUCUCUGCCCCGGGUGCGUCGCAGCCCCGGACCAAGGCGCCCGCCGGAGGACCAACCAAAACUCUUAUUGUAUACCCCCUCGCGGGUUUUUUUAUAAUCUGAGCCUUCUCGGCGCCUCUCGUAGGCGUUUCGAAAAUGAAUCA
rnacentral:misc_RNA from 1 species